rnacentral:rRNA from 1 species
GAUGAACGCUAGCGGCAGGCUUAAUACAUGCAAGUCGAGGGGCGUCAAGGUACACGAAAGUGUAUUGUUGGCGACCGGCGGACGGGUGAGUAAUAGGUAGGUAACCUACCUCAUACUGAGGCAUAGCUGGGAGAAAUUCCAGGUAAUUCCUCAUGAGGUUAUAUGACACAUGUGAUAUAAUCAAAGGUAUCGCAAGGUACUGGUAUGAGAUGGGCUUACUGACCAUUAGCUAGUUGGUGAGAUAAGAGCUCACCAAGGCGAAGAUGGUUAGGGGUUUUGAGAGAGAGAUCCCCCACAUUGGAACUGAGAUACGGUCCAGACUCCUACGGGAGGCAGCAGUAGGGAAUAUUGGGCAAUGGGCGGAAGCCUGACCCAGCCAUGCCGCGUGAAGGAAGACGGCCUUAUGGGUUGUAAACUUCUUUAACUAUGCGACUAACUAGAUUUACGAGAUAAUUCUAUAGAAUGUACAUAGACAAAAAGCACCGGCUAACCG